CGACCUUGAAGCGCACCGUUUCAAGUAAUUGUCGAAGUGGAUCUUUCCACAUGUGAGACGCACGUGCUCACUAAUCAGUUGUUAAUUAAUAUGUAUUAGGGUUUUGCCCCAAACUAGUUGGAUGUUUGCCAAGUGGCAAGAUCUAGAAGGCUCAUUCUGGUUAUAAAUGGUCUUUGUAAGAGAACAGCCGCUAUCAAUGAAAAAGACUUGCUUUGAUUUCCUUUUGCAGUUCUGUUAUUAGUUCCAGAUCCCUGUUACUUCUCUUUCCGUCACCUUUACUCUCCUCUCCAUUAUUUCCACUUCUUAUUGAACCCCUCUUGAUCUUUACUGAUCACCAAUCAAUCAGUUUCCGAUGGCGUUGAGUACCCAAGUCAGAGCUUCCACCGGUUCAGCUUUCUCAUGGAAAUACGACGUGUUUUUGAGCUUCCGAGGCGAAGACACCCGGAAGGGCUUCACUGAUUACUUAUACGACAAGUUGAAGUGGCGAGGAAUCAGGACUUUCAGGGACGACCCUGAACUUGAAAGAGGCACAACCAUCUCUCCGGAGCUCAUCUCAGCAAUCGAGCAGUCCAGGUUUGCGAUCGUUGUUCUUUCUCCAAACUAUGCUUCUUCCACGUGGUGUUUGCUUGAACUGUGUAUUAUUUUGGAUUGCAUGGAAAAGAGAGGGACCAUUCUGCCGGUCUUUUAUGAGGUCAACCCGUCUGAUGUGAGACACCAAAGGGACAGCUUUGCUGAAGCGUUUGAUGAACAUGAAGAGAAGUUUGGAGAAGAUAGUAAGGAAGUGGAAGGGUGGAGAGAUGCUUUAACACAAGUGGCGAACCUCGCUGGCUGGAAUUCAAAGGAUUACAGGUAUGGAACAGAGCUUAUCAAAGAGAUUGUGCAAGCACUGUGGAGCAAAGUGCAUCCUAGUGCCACACUAUUUGGUUCCUCAGAGAUGUUAGUUGGAAUGGAUACUAAGCUGGAGGAAUUAGAUGUUCUUUUAGAUAAAGAAGCAAAUGAUGUUCGCUUUAUAGGGCUAUGGGGAAUGGGUGGGCUGGGUAAGACAACUCUUGCUAGACAAGUUUAUGAGAAGAUCUCUGAUCAAUUUGAAGUUUCCAUCUUUGUUUCUAAUGUCAGAGAGGUUUCUGCAACCCAUGGUCUAGUUCAUAUACAUAAGCAGAUUCUGUCCCAAAUCUUGAAGCAAGAAAAUGAACAAGUAUGGGAUGUUUAUAGUGCAAUGAAUAUGACUAAGAGAUGUUUAUGCAAUAAAGCGGUUCUUCUAGUUCUUGACGAUGUGGAUCAAGUAGAGCAACUGGAAACCUUGGUGGGAGAAAAAGACUGGUUUGGUAUGAGGAGUAGAAUCAUCAUUACAACUAGAAAUCAACGUAUACUAGUCACACAUGGUAUAGAUGAACCAUAUGAGUUGAAGGGAUUAAACAAUGAUGAAGCUCUCAAGCUCUUUAGUUUGAAAGCCUUUAGGAAAUAUGAGCCAGAAGAAGAUUUUGCAGAGCUCUCUAGGUGCUUUGUUAGCUAUGCCAGCGGUCUUCCCUUAGCUCUUAAGACUUUGGGGUCUUUCUUGUAUAAAAGAAAUGCAGAUGCAUGGAUUUCUGCAUUGGAAAAACUACGGAAUACUCCCGACGGAACAAUCUUUGACAUCCUGAAAAUAAGUUAUGAUGGACUCGAUAAGAUGGAGAAGAAAAUUUUUCUGGACAUCGCCUGUUUUUCUUCGGAAUGUCAAGCCAAGUUUGUUAUUGAACUACUGUAUAGUUCUGACAUUUGCACUCGUAUUGCAAUAGAUGUUCUUGUUGAGAGAUCUCUCUUAACUUUUUCAUCAGACAAUGAGAUAGGUAUACAUGAUUUGAUACAAGAAAUGGGACGUGAAAUUGUACGGCAAGAGUCUUAUGAAGAGCCUGGUGGACGCAGUCGUUUGUGGCUUCACAAAGACGUUUUUCAUGUUUUCACCAAGAAUACGGGAACAGAAGCCAUCGAAGGCAUAUGGUUACACUUGCCUGAAUUAGAAGAAGCAGAUUGGAAUCAUGAAGCCUUCUCUAAAAUGGGUAAACUGAAGCUUCUCUACAUUCAUAACUUGAGGCUUGCUCUUGGCCCUAAUUGUCUUCCUAAUGCCUUGAGAUUUCUGAACUGGAGUUGGUAUCCUUCAAAAUCUCUCCCACCAAGUUUUCAACCGGAUGAACUCACUGAACUUAGCCUUCCCCAUAGCAAUAUUCGUCACCUCUGGAAUGGAAUGAAAUGCUUGGUCAAGUUGAAAUCUAUCGACCUUAGUUACUCCAUAAACUUGACAAUGACCCCAGAUUUCACAGGCAUUCCAAACCUCGAGAGGUUGGUUUUUGAAGGUUGUACGAAUUUAGUUAAGGUUCAUCCAUCCAUUGCAUUGCUGAAGAGACUCAAAAUUUGGAACUUUAGAUACUGCCGAAGUAUCAAGAGUCUACCAAGUGAAGUGAAAAAUGGAAUAUCUUGAGACUUUUGAUGUAUCUGGCUGCUCAAAACUAAAAAUGAUUCCAGAAUUUAUGGGGCAAAUGAAAAGAUUAUCCAAGCUUUCUUUAAGUGGGACUGCUGUUAAAAACCCGCCUUCAUCAGUUGAGCGUUUCAGUGAGAGUUUGGUGGAGCUUGAUUUGUGUGGAAUUGUUGCAAGAGAGCGGCCAUACUCUCAUUUUUUAUCUUUUGGCUUAUUUCCGAGAAAGAGUCCUCACCCUUUGCUUCCUCUGUUAGCUUCCUUGAAGCAUUUGUCUUCUUUGACGUCAUUAAAACUGAAUGACUGUAACCUCCGUGAAGGAGAAAUUCCGAAUGAAAUUGGUUCUCUGUCCACCUUAAGGGAAUUGGAACUCGGAGGAAAUAAUUUUGUCACCCUUCCUGCCAGCCUUCAUUUGCUUUCUGAUCUGGAAUACAUUAGCGUGGAGGAUUGCAAAAGGCUUGAGCAAUUGCCAGACCUCGCAUUCAAUGACAGGUUAUGUGUAGUAACCAGCAAUUGUACUUCCUUAAAAGUGUUUCCAGAUCCAUCAGAUUCGUGCAGAUUCAGUACGGUUGGUAAUCUGGAUUCAAGUUAUUUUUUAUAUUCAAUGCUGAAGCGGUUACUUGAGGAAGCCCCUUCUUUUCGUUUCUUCUGUUGUGUACUUCCUGGAAGUGAAAUGUUUGAGUGGUUCAGUAAUCAGAGUUUGGGAGACACGGUAACUGAGAAGAUACCUCCGUAUUCAAGUAAUAGCAAGUGGAUUGGGUUUGCUGUAUGUGCGCUAUUUGCAGCUCAUGACAAUCCAUCUGCCGUUUCCGAAUUCCCUUAUUUACAUCCUGGUCAAAGUUUGAUUACGUGUUCAUUUGAUGGCCACGUGUUUUAUGGACCACCUGUAAAACAAAUUGGUUCAGAUCACCUAUUGCUAUCUAUUUUCUCCGCUCGUUACUGGAAGCCUGAGAACUGUCCAGAUGACAACUUGAUUAAGUUUGUUUUUUAUACCUAUCGAGCUGUAGGAAACAACAGAUGCUUGAAGAUAAAGAAAUGUGGGUCCGUGCACUCCUGUGACAUGUCGGAUUCAUGGAUAUGCAAGGCUGUUUAUAACUCAGUGCUUCUCUAG